GUCCCUGUAGGGCAAUAGAUAGCCCAUUGGACUUCAAAUCCAAAGAUUGUGGGUUCAAUUACCACCUGCGAUG